ACUACAAUGAUGCUUUCUGUUUCUUCAAUUUUUGUUCUGAUAUUUGAAGAGCUCUACCAAAUUAUAUUCCUUUUUAUUUAUUGUCCCACUGGAUUGGAAAGGAGUGCUACAAGAGAGGACCAUAUGGUAAUGAUAUUUACAGGAAGAAUGUGCCUCAUAUCAGGCUGGAAUUUUGUGGCACGACAUGGAGAGUGGAGAUGCCACAGGUUUACCUUGGCAAAACGAGUUUUCCAAAAAACAUUGAAACCUAGCCAGCUUGAUGGAUGUGCUUUUCUGUACCUAAUUAUAUAAGAGUAUAUUUCUCAAGGUCUUUUUGAUCAGCUCAUUCUACCAAUAUAUGGCAUCAAGUUUUCUCGGACAUGGCUCUGAAAGCUAAAGUUCCAGACUUUAGAAGGAAAAACGCUAAUACAUAUAUUCAUGUGUACAAUGGCUAUAAUGGUUGCAGUCCGUAACAAGGUGUGAGUACCCUGAAAUUUGAGAUAUGGAUUAUAGGCACAAAAGGCAUUUAAGCUUCAGGCGAAAAAGUUUGUUUCAGGUUUCAGAUUGCGAUUUGGAGUGAUAUCAUAACAUAUAUUUUGUAAAUCAAAUAUUUUUUAUUUUUGCCAGAGAUUUGAUACUGCACCUGGAUGACUAGAUGAGUUGGUUUGAAGUUUAGGAAACACUAAGAUAAUUCUGUAGUUAAUCAGUAACUUAGCUUAUCAGUACUAGCAAUAUAUCAUUAAAUUGCUCCGGCAGACUUGCAGUGUGCUCCUUCGUCCAAGUUCUUUCAUUCUUUUUUAUAGGUAGUGAGUUAAAGUAUAGCUUCUAAUGGAAAUUGUAAAGUCAAAAGGGAAAUUUGCUGCUCAGGUUGCUUUCAGAUUGGGCUUAUGAUGCUAUGAGCAAGGCGCUGUUAUUAUGUUCGAGAGCUUCAAUAAAGAAAGACUAAGCAGUAUCUACGGAUUUUUGACUAGGAGUUGAGCGAUGAAGAGUCCGAAAAGGUUACUGAAAUUCCUCAUAGCAAGGCAAACCUUGAUGAGAUGUUAAUCUUUGAAACCAAUCAUGUGAUUGAGAGAGUAUAUCAAACAUGUAACCAUCCUUUUCAAUAUUUAUUCAACUUCACUCUGUAGUGAGGUUUCUUUAAGACCUUUGCAACUUCUUUCGUCUAUAUUUUCAGCUUCACUAUGUAGUGAGGUUCCUUCAGGGCCUUUACAACUUUUUUCUUUCUAUAUUUUCAUAUAUUUAAAUAGUAAA